GACGAACCGUGCGAACGUUGUUCGGAAUCACUGGGCUUAAAGGGCGCGUAGGCGGGCUGCCGCGUCCGCGGUGAAAUCCCCCCGGCUCAACCGGGGAAGUGCCGCGGGUACGGGCGAUCUCGAGGCGGGUAGGGGCGUGCGGAACACUGGGUGGAGCGGUGAAAUGCGUUGAUAUCCAGUGGAACUCCGGUGGCGAAGGCGGGACUCUGGGCCGAUACUGACGCUGAGGAGCGAAAGCGUGGGGAGCAAACAGG
rnacentral:rRNA from 1 species